rnacentral:snRNA from 1 species
AGCUUUGCACAGUGGCAGUAUCACAGCCAAUGAGGUUUAUCCAAAGGCGCGAUUAUUGCUAAUUGAAAACUUUUCCCAUACUACUCCCUUUCUAACAUGUAGAAGUAUCCCCUUUACAUUUAUUUUUAGAAAUAAUGUAAAAUA